GACAUAGGUUGCGAGCGUUAUUCGGAAUUACUGGGCGUAAAGCGUGCGCAGGCGGUUUUGUAAGACUGUCGUGAAAUCCCCGGGCUCAACCUGGGAAUGGCGAUGGUGACUGCAAGGCUAGAGUUUGGCAGAGGGGGGUAGAAUUCCACGUGUAGCAGUGAAAUGCGUAGAUAUGUGGAGGAACACCGAUGGCGAAGGCAGCCCCCUGGGUCAAAACUGACGCUCAUGCACGAAAGCGUGGGGAGCAAACAGG
rnacentral:rRNA from 1 species